UUGGUGGUCCUCAUGUGGAUGGGCAA
rnacentral:piRNA from 1 species